UACGUAGGGGGCGAGCGUUGUCCGGAAUUACUGGGCGUAAAGCGCACGUAGGCGGCUUUGUAAGUUAGAGGUGAAAGCCCGGGGCUCAACCCCGGAAUUGCCUUUAAGACUGCAUCGCUAGAAUUGUGGAGAGGUAAGUGGAAUUCCGAGUGUAGAGGUGAAAUUCGUAGAUAUUCGGAAGAACACCAGUGGCGAAGGCGACUUACUGGACACAUAUUGACGCUGAGGUGCGAAAGCGUGGGGAGCAAACAGG
rnacentral:rRNA from 1 species